ensembl:lncRNA
UCACACAUAAUAAUUGUGUAUAUUUAUCAGGUACAGUGUGAUGUUGCAAUGCAUGUUUACAAUGGGCAAUAAUUACAUUAGAGUAAUUAGCAUAUCUAUUACCAUAAACUUUUAUCAUUCCUUUAUGUAAGAAACAGCCAAAAUUCCUGCCUCAGCCUCCUGAGUAGCUGGGAUUACAGGUGCCCAGCACCAAGCCUGGCUAAUUUUUUGUUUUUUGAGACAGAGCCUCACUCUGUCACCCAGGCUGGAGUGCAGUGGCACGAUCUCGUCUCACUGCAACCUCUGCCUCCCUGGUUCUUAUAAUUCUCCUGCCUCAGCCUCCCGAGUAACUGGGACUACAGGUGUGCACCACUAUGCCCAGCUAAUUUUUGUACUUUCAGUAGAGACGGGGUUUCACCAUGUUGGCCGGGAUGGUCUCAAUUUCUUGACCUUAUAAUUCAUCUGCCUUGGCCUCCAAAAGUGCUGGGAUUAUAGGCGUGAGCCACUGGGCCCAGCCUGGACCUUGCUUCUUUACCCAACUUGCUACUGUGUGUCUUUUAAGAGGUGUGUUUAGCCUAUUUACAUUCAAGGUUAAUACCAAUAUGUGAGAACUUGAUCUUGUCAUUGUGCUGUUGCCUGAUUGUUAUGCAUACUUGGUUGUACAAUUAUUUCAUAGUGUCAGUGGGCUAUAUACUUAAGUUUGUUUUUGUGAUGGCAGAUAUCAUUCUUUCAUUUCCAUGUUUAGGACUCCCUAAGGACCACUCCUAAGACAGAUCUGGAGCCAUUUUUGUCACAUGAAGAACCAUUGCUGGGGAGCUAGUAUGGCCGCUUGGAGGGCCACACGGCAAAAGGACAACAGCCAUUGUCAAGCUAAGACGACAGCCUUCACCAGGAAUCAAAUUGGAUGGCACUUUGAUGUUGAAUGUCUAGCCUCCAGAACUGUGAAAAAUAAAUUUUUGUUGUUUAAGCCACUAAGUCUAUGGUGUUUUGUUAUGGCAGCUCAAGUAGACUUACUAACACUUAGAAUGAAUGCUUUUGGUGAGCAAGGAGUUUCUGUAUUUUUAUGAGUAGGCAUGCAAGGGAGUGUGAAUGAGGACUUUUAAUUUUGGAAAUAUGGGGUAAAAUGAAAUAUUUUUUCUUUGAAAACAAAGAUGGAGUUUAUCCUCAGAAUAUUUAUUUUGUUUAAAAUUUGAGGAAGACAUUGUUAGCAAAACUAAGAGUGAACAUUGACUUAAUUCUAAAGUCAUGUAUGAAUGUUCCCUGAGAACACUGAGGGUAGCCUGAUAGGUGCCAUUUGGUUCUUGAAACAAACCCCAGCAUUACUCCAAACUCUUAUUACCAAAGAAGAUUCUGAAUGAUCAUAAUUACCUUUUGUUCCAGGGUUAGAUUUGGGGGCUGCGGAGCAAGGCUGCCAGAGAGAUAUAAUUGUGUUGAAGACCUAAAAGUGUUACUGGUUUAAGUUAUAGUUACCAGUACAGAGAUGAUUAUUAUUAACAACUGUUAAAAAAAAACUCUUCAGAAAGAAUCUCAAAUGACACAGAGAAAAUUUAAAAGUAUUUAGAUGGAGUUUUGUAAUAAGCUAUUUAAAAUACAAUAUAACAUAGUCAUUGAUACAACACAUUUAAGAUAAGUACUUUUUAAUGUUUUAUGUAUUUUUCCAGUGACCCACUUAACAUUUUAUUAAUUCAUAAGUACUAUAAUAUAGCUUUUAAAAUAGCUGUGAUUGAACAUUUCAGUACCCAUUAAAAUGGUAAGUACUUGAUUCUUGAAAAUGAUAGUUAAAAAAUAAGCAAGUAUUUUAUUAGUUUUAAAAAUGUAAUUCAACUUAUAAAAAUAUAGAAACUUAGAUUUGUAAUAAUUUAACUUGAUUUAAUUUACAAAUUGUCAAGCAGCAAUGAAAUGGUGUGAUAUAAGAAAAGAUCAUACAUUUUAAUCAGUACUAAAUUUGAGAACCAUCACCACCAUUUUCUUCACGUACAUUAUUUAACCUCACUGUGUUAGAAUCUUUUGGCACUGUUUGUUCUAGAUACCAUUUUCCAAUAUAUAACUGGUGACACUGUCAUUACACUUUGAAUCUAGUCAAAUCAGAGGAAAAGUUUUAUUUCUUAUCUUUAAUGAAAAUUUUCCUGGCACUACUUCAGUCAAAGUUCUACUGUAGUCAGAGUGAAGAAAGGUAAACAGACACAAUGAGAAUAUUAUGAUGUAAGGAAUUUAAUUAACAAUUAGACUGUGUGCAAUUGUAAGAGGACCCUGGGAUGAGGAAGUCUGGUCAGGGAAUGCAAUAGAUCAAGGAGAGUAACUAGCCAGUCCUCCUGUGGAACACUGGCAGACUAAUUCAAACUUAGAAAGCAAUUGUCAAAGCAAAAAGUAUUCAUUUGUUGAUCUGAGAAUAACAAAAGUGGGUUUGUGUAGAAACCUGUAAAAAGUACUGCACCUGUAUAACUACUACUGCUGUGCGUUGGGAGCCUGCUGUUGGUAUAAUCAGCAGGACCAUUAGGUCAGAAGAAAAACUGGAUUUGGAGUAGAACAAAAAAACAGCUAUCCAAUACUACCUACAUAUAACAGUAUAGUGUCUGGUUACCAGAUGAUAUUUGUCACUGUGUUUGACUACAAAGAAUUGAGAAUAAUGGUUAUGCUUCAAUCAUCCAUUCCAGAUACCACACAAGUGUGUGUGUUUGUUGUUGUUGUUUAACUCUAAUCAAGGUUGUAUAGAAAAGAGGACUACAGAAAAUGCAAUUACCGGGUUAAUUAAGUUGAAAAUAGUGCAAAACAGCAUAUUUCCUAUUUUACCAUCUCUUUCUCAGAUCAGAUUACAAAUAGUCUCUGUCUCAAAGUCUCAAUUAAUUAUGGACAUUCAAUUGAUCAGAUUCAAGUAAAGGUAAUUACUGUAUGGGGUUAUAUCAUUAAACAUUUUAUUUAAUAUUAUUGAAAAAAUAUUGUUCAUUGAAAACAAAGAUUUGUCCUGUUUCCCUAAUUCAUAACAUGCUGCUCCUGCAAGUACACCUGUCAAUACACUUAUUUUCAAAUUUCUUUAAUAUCUGUUUGCAGUCUCUGAUUCAUUGGGAUCACCACUUGGAGGCAAGUUUAACUCCAAGAAUUCUCCAUUAUCCUAGAUAAUUAGGUAAGUUACAUGCUCUCUAGGUGAAAUCUGGGACAAUCAUGUUCUCUCUUUGGAGAGACUGGAAUUAGGACAAAGAUUAGCUGAGUCAGUCUCACCGUGCAUGCAAACACAGGAGCUCUGAAAGGUCAUGUUUCUGCCACAUAGGUCACAGAAAACUUUGGGACAAAAGAGUGAAAGAAAAAUAAUCAAUAUUGAUUUUCAGAGAGACGCAAAGACUGAAAAAAUAAUCUUAAAGUUAAUAGUCUCCAAUUUCUUCUUCUUCCCUAGUUCAUUUCUGUCUUCCUUCAGUGAAAAACAGAAUAUCUUUAUAAGAUAAUACUAGUUUGUUUCAGAUGCCUUAAACUGGUUGCUACUAAAAUUAUCCUGAUUUUAUCCUGAUUAAAAUAUUUUCUACAUUUAAAUACCCUAACUUAAUAUAACCUAGGCAGAAACCAUAGGUGAUUCAAGUCCUCUCCAUCAUAGUGCAUUAGUGUAGCAGCAGUGUCAAAUUCUCAAAACUGCAUGUCUUUCACAGCUUCACAAUGAUGUGACAAAAAGGCUACUAACUGUCCAAAGUAAAGCAUUUAGUUUCUUCUAUUUGUUGUUAAAAAUAAACUGUAGAUUAAUUAAAUUUAGUGGAGGUUAUUUGAGUAAAGAACAAUGCACAAAUUGGGGAAUACCCUGAACCAAAGGACAUUCAUAGGACAGUCCCCAGCAGUGUGAAUAGUGAGUGAGCUUUUAUAGAUCAACAAAACGAGGUUGAGAAAUUAUCUGAUUGAUUAAAGCCUAAUAUCUUCCUUAUUUGGGCUGGUGUGAUGAAUUGGCUACCUGUAAUUGGCUAAAACAUGGCUUCUUGUCAUUGACUAAAACUCUGGUGUUUUUUAUACUUCUUUGGUUUCAGUUUGUUUACAUACUAAGUUAGGUUAUAGUUUGCUAUGUAAGAAGUCAAGGUAAAAAGGCAGCCUUAGGCCAAGUGUAACUUCAUUUUAUAUUGUGAAAAAAUGCAAUAGAAAGGUAAAGAGAGUCAAAUCUGAAGCUAGUCUGCCUUGGUCAAAUUCUAGUUCAAUAUAAACUGAUCUUGCAUGGCUUAUUGUAUAUCUUUGCAUGUCUUCAAUUACAUUAAAUUAGAAAUAAUAACCUGUCUCAUUGGGUGGUUGUGAGAAUUUGAUUUUAAAAGGUAGCACACUUAUAAGAGUAUCUUAGAUCGGGGGAAGAAAAGAAGAUGGCACGGUAGUAGCAACUCAGCAACUCAGGAUUGCAGCUCUCAGUGAAGGCACAGAGGGUGAGUCCAAGCAGCAUUUCCAGACGGAUCUUUGUUGCCCACAGAAUGGGGAAAUUCCCAGGUGUAGGAGAGACACAGGAGGCCAGCACAGCCCGUUAGGCUGAUACGGCCGUUUCAGCCAGUGCUGCAGCACAGCGGCACUCCGCACAAAAAUGCACUGGUCCGGGUGCCCUGUUAAACCAGCAAUCUAAGAUUUGGGAGGGAAGAUUAGCAUAUCCAUCUGAUUAAACUGGACUUGGACAGUGAGCCAGACCAGGAUACUCCCGGGAAGCAACAUUUGAGCUGGCGCAGUGGGUUGCUGCACGGGAAAUCACACAGAUCCUGGUGCCUUAUCAGCAGGUGACUGAAACACCUGGGAGAGAGUCAACCGUUCAACUUAAAAAAAAAAAAGAAAAAAGAAAAUAAAAAGAGCUCUAAGGCAGAUAGUCAGGUGAUCAGGCUCGGCGGGUCCCACCCCCACAGGGACAAACAAAAUGGCGAUUUGAAAUGCUCAGGGUUGAGAGUUUCACUGUGGGCACAGCUGAAUCCAGAAUGGUGCAGCUUGGGGGAGAGGGGCGUCCAGCAUUACCGAGGCAUUCCGCCCCUACUGAGGUACACUCCCAUUGCUGACACAACCUGCUGAUGCUGAGACAACCCACCAUAACAGAGAGACUCUGCCAACAGGGCAGAGCCCACGAUGGCAGGGCGGAGCCCAUGGCAGCAGGGCAGAGCCCACAGCAGCAAGGCAGAGCCCACGGCAACAGGACAGACCUCACUGUAACAGGGAAGAGCCUCGGCCGGCAAAUCGUGACUAGAUUGCCUCCGAGCUGGGCAGGACAGUGCAAUGAAUAAGCAUAAAGAAAGCCCUAACUCCCUGAGAAACAGCAUCUGAGGAAAAAAAGGGGUUUUAUAAGUUCUGCUGCAGCAAACUUAAACAUACCUGCCUAACAGCCCUGAAUGAACAACAAAGCUCACAGCUCAGCACUUGAGCUCCUGUAAAGUACAGACCACCUCCUCAAGCAGCUAUCUAACCCCUGUAUAUCCA